AAAGGAUUAGUUUUAAACUAAAACAUUUAAUUUCGGCUUAAACAAUUCUGAAGUAUAACCCAGAAUCCUUGA
rnacentral:tRNA from 1 species